rnacentral:lncRNA from 1 species
AUUCACAGUUCUUUUCAUCUUGGAAACUGACUUUUCAUUUCUCUUCGUGUUUCAUACAUUAGGAAAGAAGAAUACAAAGGUGAAAAUAAAACCCUGAAAAAAAUUAAAUCCAAAGUUGAGGGUUGUGCAACAGCUAGUUGGUGAGACUUGGGUAUCUGCCCUAGCUAAAUUACCUUUGAAGAGGCCAUUUUGAAGAGCUGUACAAUCCACUUAAGAAAAGUUUUUACUGAGGUGAAUCCCACUUAUAAUGGAGCAGAGUGAGAGUCUUAAGUCAAGAUAUGCAGACAUGAAAGAGUUAAAUGACUGGAGACCUGACUGCAGCUGGGGUUCAUUUAAACAGCUGUCUGACAUAAAAAGAGGAAGAGGAAAGGUUUGUCUGUUCUGGUGGGAACAAUUUGUAACACUUACAUUAAGGAAGAGAUGGGCUGGGAUAAAAGCCAAUAUGGGUAUGAAAAAGAUGAAGUGCUGUCAAGAAUAGCAACUUUCAAGUAUCAGAUCUACCAGCUCCACAGUGAGGUUUUCAUGCAUCAGCCUCCUUGGCUGGAACCCUGCCUCCCCAUCCCAUUGCCAGAGAAGUAUGAUGAUGACUGGCUGCGCUUCUGCGGGUUCUUUGUCCAAUGCUGCGUAUUAUUUGUAGUCAACUUUAGCUCUACCCCCAAAACUAAGUGAAGGUGAGCCUAGUGGUCUUAAUGGAAAAUGCACUGAUUUGGGCCAAAGCGUUGGUGGACUGUGAUAGUUUGGUGCUCCAAGGCUGGGGGGCAUUCCUCAAGGAAUUCAUGACAUAGUUUGCAAUCUGCACCUGGCCUGGACAGAGGAGGCUGUCCUGUGAUCCCUGCAUCAGGAGAAAAGUUCUGUCAUGGCUUGUGCACCCAUCUUUCACUGCUUGAGAACAGACACCCAGUAGAAUGAAGCAUCCCAACUCCACCAUUUCUGCUGGGGUCUACAGGAGGAAAUUAAGGAUGAACUGGCUCCGAAUUUGAUGCAUUUGUGGAUCUGGCUGCCCAGAUGGGCCUCCACCUUUGGGAAUGCAGAGAGGAAAAGAAAGAUGCCUUGCCUCUGUGGCCACACAGUAGUGAAACAUGAGCUGAAUAACAUGGAUCAAAAAGAAACCUGCCCUAGAGUGGUGUAACUUUAAGGUGCCUAAGUGUGCUUAAAGCUAGUUUCCAGUGUUAAUGUGCAGACAAUCCAUGGGUUAAGAGCUCCAGAAGCUGCCUAAAAUUAAUCUAGAACAAGGCCCUAAGUAUGUCUUGUGAAAUGCUGAGCUCCUGCUGUUUUCAGUGAAAGAUGGACAUACUUGGUAUCUGCCCAAAUUUGGUCUAGCUGUAUUUAAAUAUGGAAUAUAUAUUUGUCCAAGUUGUUUUGCAUUAAAAUAAAUGAAUCCAACACUGAAGUUAUGUAAUUGCA